rnacentral:siRNA from 1 species
GGAGUCGUCUCAGCUGUGUUCC